GGGUUUGGCGGGGGAGUGGGACGGAGACGGCGCCGGGGAGUGGAGCUGCUGCUGGCUUUUGGAGCGAGGAGCUGUGGUCAUGUCCAUCCCCAGGGCUCGCUGCAUCUGGCAGUUCAGACAGAGCCACUCUUUCACCUCGAUAAGAUGUGGGUUGGGGUUGAAUCCGCACUGGUUGCAGACUUUGUUGUGACACUGCGUACAGGCGUUGAAGUUUGGCUGGUUGGGGGACGAGAGGAGUUCUGUGGUCUUGCAUAUAGGGCAGAGAGUGCUGCUCGGAAGAGGGGCGAUUUGAGGAACGGAAUAAGGUGAGGUAGGGGUGCUGCCCCGAUCCGGCGAUGCCGAUGGAGAUCUUCCCGAUCUCUGGCCCCUGCUGUCCACCUGCAGCGUCCGUCUAGGCCCAUCCGCCUGUUGGCCGGGCUGGCCGUGACCCCUCAUCUCUCUGGUGCUUUCUGAGCUCUGAGCAGCCUGCGUGAGGGAGGGAGAAGCUGAUCUCUGUCCAGCUGGCUGAUCCAGUUGGUCUGGUCUUCUUGGU